GACAGCAGUCGCCGCGGGAAUACAGAGGGUGCGAGCGUUAAUCGGAUUUACUGGGCGUAAAGCGUGUGUAGGUUGUUGUUCAAGUCAGUUGUGAAAUCCCUGGGCUCAACCUGGGAACUGCUUCUGAGACUGAACGACUAGAGUACGGUAGAGGGUGGUGGAAUUUCCGGUGUAGCGGUGAAAUGCGUAGAUAUCGGAAGGAACAUCAAUGGCGAAGGCAGCCACCUGGGCCUGUACUGACACUGAGACACGAAAGCGUGGGGAUCAAACAGGAUUAGAUACCCCGGUAGUCCCUGUCUCUUAUAC
rnacentral:rRNA from 1 species